GACGAACGCUGGCGGCGUGCUUAACACAUGCAAGUCGAACGGAAAGGCCCCUUUUGGGGUACUCGAGUGGCGAACGGGUGAGUAACACGUGAGUAACCUGCCCUUGACUUCGGGAUAACUUCAGGAAACUGGGGCUAAUACCGGAUAGGAAUCCUUGCUGCAUGGUGGGGGUUGGAAAGCUUCGGCGGUUUUGGAUGGACUGGCGGCUUAUCAGCUUGUUGGUGGGGUAGUGGCUUACCAAGGCUUUGACGGGUAGCCGGCCUGAGAGGGCGACCGGCCACAUUGGGACUGAGAGACGGCCCAGACUCCUACGGGAGGCAGCAGUGGGGAAUAUUGCACAAUGGGCGGAAGCCUGAUGCAGCAACGCCGCGUGCGGGAUGACGGCCUUCGGGUUGUAAACCGCUUUCAGCAGGGGCGAAGCUUGUGGUGACGGUACCUGCAGAAGAAGCACCGGCUAACUACGUG
rnacentral:rRNA from 1 species